AUUGAACGCUGGCGGCAGGCCUAACACAUGCAAGUCGAACGAGUGGCGGACGGGUGAGUAAUGUCUGGGAAACUGCCCGAUGGAGGGGGAUAACUACUGGAAACGGUAGCUAAUACCGCAUACCAUCGGAUGUGCCCAGAUGGGAUUAGCUAGUAGGUGGGGUAACGGCUCACCUAGGCGACGACCCCUAGCUGGUCUGAGAGGAUGACCACCAACACGGGAACGGAGACACGGUCCAGAUUCCUCGGGGAGGCAGAAGUGGGGAAUAUUGCACAAUGGGCGCAAGCCGGAUGCAGCCAGGCCGCGUGUAUGAAGAAGGCCUUCGGGUUGUAAAGUACUUUCAGCGAGGAGGCGGUACUCGCAGAAGAAGCACCGGCUAACUCCGUGCCAGCAGCCGCGGUAAUAC
rnacentral:rRNA from 1 species